rnacentral:rRNA from 1 species
UACGUAGGGAGCGAGCGUUGUCCGGAUUCAUUGGGCGUAAAGAGCUCGUAGGCGGCUUGAUAAGUCGGAUGUGAAACCUCCAGGCUCAACCUGGAGUCGCCAUCCGAUACUGUCAUGGCUAGAGUCCGGUAGGGGCCCAUGGAAUUCCUGGUGUAGCGGUGAAAUGCGCAGAUAUCAGGAGGAACACCGGUGGCGAAGGCGGUGGGCUGGGCCGGCACUGACGCUGAGGAGCGAAAGCGUGGGGAGCGAACAGG